rnacentral:rRNA from 1 species
AACGAACGCUGGCGGCGCGCCUAAUACAUGCAAGUCGAGCGAGAAGGUGUAGCAAUACACUUGUAAAGCGGCGAACGGGUGAGGAAUACAUGGGUAACCUACCCUCGAGUGGGGAAUAACUAGCCGAAAGGUUAGCUAAUACCGCAUACGAUUCCAGCACUUCGGUGGUGGAAGGAAAGCACUACCGUGGGUAGUGCGCUCCUGGAUGGGCUCAUGUCCUAUCAGCUGUUGGUGAGGUAAUGGCUCACCAAGGCUUCGACGGGUAGCUGGUCUGAGAGGACGAUCAGCCACACUGGCACUGCGACACGGGCCAGACUCCUACGGGAGGCAGCAGUAAGGAAUAUUGCGCAAUGGGCGACAGCCUGACGCAGCGACGCCGC